GACGAACGCUGGCGGCGUGCCUAAUACAUGCAAGUAGAACGCACAGUUUAUACCGUAGCUUGCUACACCAUAAACUGUGAGUUGCGAACGGGUGAGUAACGCGUAGGUAACCUGCCUGGUAGCGGGGGAUAACAAUUGGAAACGAUAGCUAAUACCGCAUAAUAUUGAUUAUUGCAUGAUAAUUGAUUGAAAGAUGCUAUUGCAUCACUACCAGAUGGACCUGCGUUGUAUUAGCUAGUAGGUGAGGUAACGGCUCACCUAGGCGACGAUACAUAGCCGACCUGAGAGGGUGAUCGGCCACACUGGGACUGAGACACGGCCCAGACUCCUACGGGAGGCAGCAGUAGGGAAUCUUCGGCAAUGGACGAAAGUCUGACCGAGCAACGCCGCGUGAGUGAAGAAGGUUUUCGGAUCGUAAAGCUCUGUUGUAAGAGAAGAACGGGUGUGAGAGUGGAAAGUUCACACUGUGACGGUAUCUUACCAGAAAGGGACGGCUAACUACGUG
rnacentral:rRNA from 1 species